CUGGACCUUAACUCAUGAAUCUUUAUUAUAUUUUCUCUCCCUUGUCCAGAUGAGAAGUGGAGUAAUUGAGCAGCUUUGGUGAGUGUCUGACAUCCAGCCAGGGUCAACCCACUCAAAUGUCAAUGACAUUUUGGAAACUCAGUCACAGGCACUCUACUACCAAACCUGUGUGUGUGACUUAUGGAAAUGAAUUUGAUUGGUGUGCAGGCUAACAAAAUAAGUCACUUGAUUACUCAUGAUCUUGAGUGAAGAUAUGGAAGAAUGAAGAUACAGAAGAGUGAAGAUGUCAAGUAAUGCCUAAUUAAAAUGACUGAUUCAUGAUCAAGGGACUAUUUUCACUCCCUGAACUGAAGAAUCCUUCCCUAAGCAUUAUUGAUUCUUGGUUCAGGCAUUGACUUCUGCCUACAACUCUGCUGCUCUAAUAUCUGGAAAGAAAUUGAUAUUCCAGAGGAAAUUGGCUACUGCAAGCCUGAAGCUGUCUAAAGAAAUAACUACAUCAGCUAAGCUGCACAUCUACUUCACUUUGAGUGCCUGUGCUUUCAGACUUCCAGUAAAUUCAACAGUUUUCUUUAUGCAUAUAAACAUACCUCAGAAUGGCAGAACCAUUAAUUUAUAUAGUGGGAAUGCAACUUCCUGGAAAGUACACAUUAAAAAAAAAAAAAAUUCACUUGGGAAACAAGGAUUUCCAAAAGGAGACAUGGAAAUAUUCAGGGAAAUGAAUAUUUUGUUAAUUUUUCUGAGUUGA
rnacentral:lncRNA from 1 species